rnacentral:rRNA from 1 species
UACGUAGGGUGGCAAGCGUUGUCCGGAAUUAUUGGGCGUAAAGAGCUCGUAGGCGGUUUGUUGCGUCGGCUGUGAAAUCCCGAGGCUCAACCUCGGGUCUGCAGUCGAUACGAGCAAACUAGAGUGUUGCAGGGGAGACUGGAAUUCCUGGUGUAGCGGUGAAAUGCGCAGAUAUCAGGAGGAACACCGGUGGCGAAGGCGGGU